GGCCGAGGAGCCGCCGCCCGGGCCGCCCGCCCCCGGCGCAGAACCCCGGUGGGCUCCGCUGGCUCCGCGCGGGGGGUGAGGCUGGAGACGCGGGUCGGGACGGAGACCCCCGGCCCAGAACACGCGCGCGGUAACUAAGGAAGAAGGCUCGCCCCAGGUGGAGUCUGUGGUCUCCGCGACCGAACCGUGCAGAUGCGGGAAGAAGGGGCCGAAAAUGCAGGCGCUGCGGUCAGCAGAGAGCCCCUCCCGCUUGCUGCUGAACGGCAGGAGAGGCAGGAAGGACACCAGACGAAGCAGCAACAGCGGUACCCGAAGGAUGGAGAAAAGAAAGAAGAGGCGCAGGCGGGUCAGAAUUCAGUCUGAGGCCUGCGUCUCCGUGGCCUCUUGCCCAGCCCGGGGACCCGCGCUCCUUUCGCUCUCCCUGCUCAGGAUCCGGCGGCGGCCUCGUCCGUCAGACAACCCGAGGGCCGCAGGAUGGAGCUGAGAAUCUUCUCUGGCGUUCCGAGCUACGAAGCCUCUCAUUUCAGGUCCUCCUGCUCUCCGGGGCAGUAGGUUACCGGGCGAUCGGGCCCGGGGGUCCUCUGGGCUCCGUGCAAGGCCCAGCCCGCCGGCUUCCUCGCACUUGGAUCCCCAGGGGGGUGGGUGCCUUUCUGUGCGACCCCAGGUGUGUUCACAGUGGAACCCAGCCCCAAGGAUGGAGCUGAGGUCCCCAGACUGACUGAACCAUUUCUGGAGUUGAAUCUCCCAGGAUUCUGAUUGAAAGGGGGAUCUGGCCACUAUCAUAACCCACACAUUCUCUUAUACUGAGAGAAACACCACAAAAGGGUUCCCCACCCCUGUGGGCCUUGCCCACUGUUAGAGCUCAGCACCCAGCACAGUGGCAGAGAAGAAGGCAGCCAAGAAACAUUUGUGGGUCUGUGGUUGAAGUAGUCUUUAGUGGCAGGUGUAAACCCCAGCUUCUCCACCCCUGAGAGCUCCGGGACUGGAAUCCUCUUGCAUGGCCACAGUUCAAACUCCAAGAGAUGCACGCAGGCUGAUCUCCUGGUAAGAACCUUAGGCUGAGUGGUUAGCACCCCUAACCUGCUGACAGCACAGCCCAACAUGCACAAAUGCUUUCCUUUUACUGGCCUCAGCUUCCCUUGCUUAUAGGUAAACCCAUGUGAGCCUGACACUUUUAUACUCCCUGCAAAACGCUGUUUUGACAAUGAUCUUUGCAGUAGUCAGGACAAGAGGAAUCCCAUCUCAGAGAUAAAGGAUAUAUUGUUAGCACAGCCAGAUUGCAUUCCAUCCACUUAAAAAAAAAAAUCCUAUUUUUAAUUAAAGUAUGGGAUCCCUGUGUGGCGCAGCGGUUUAGCACCUGCCUUUGGCCCAGGGCGCGAUCCUGGAGACCUGGGAUCAAAUCCCA